rnacentral:rRNA from 1 species
UACGAAGGGGGCUAGCGUUGCUCGGAAUCACUGGGCGUAAAGGGUGCGUAGGCGGGUCUUUAAGUCAGGGGUGAAAUCCUGGAGCUCAACUCCAGAACUGCCUUUGAUACUGAGGAUCUUGAGUUCGGGAGAGGUGAGUGGAACUGCGAGUGUAGAGGUGAAAUUCGUAGAUAUUCGCAAGAGCACCAGUGGCGAAGGCGGCUCACUGGCCCGGUACUGACGCUGAGGCACGAAAGCGUGGGGAGCAAACAGG